CGAGUCCGAGUCUCCACGGAGACGAAGUGGCGGUCAUCCAGCUUCCUAGAAAAGCUCUAACCACGUUAAUCUUUAGUUGCCUGUACCCGAAACCGACACAGGUAGGGGGGUAGAGAAUACCAAGGGGCGCGAGAUAACUCUCUCUAAGGAACUCGGCAAAAUGACCCCGUAACUUCGGGAGAAGGGGUACCACUGAGAAGUGGUCGCAGUGAAGAGGCCCAGGCGACUGUUUACCAAAAACACAGGUCUCCGCCAAGUCGCAAGACGAAGUAUGGGGGCUGACGCCUGCCCAGUGCCGGAAGGUUAAGGAAGUGGGUUAGGGAUUCGUCCCGAAGCUGACGACUGAAGCCCCGGUGAACGGCGGCCGUAACUAUAACGGUCCUAAGGUAGCGAAAUUCCUUGUCGGGUAAGUUCCGACCCGCACGAAAGGCGUUACGAUCUGGGCGCUGUCUCGGAGAGAGGCUCGGCGAAAUAGGAUUGUCUGUGAAGAUACGGACUACCUGCACCUGGACAGAAAGACCCUAUGAAGCUUUACUGUAGCUUGGAAUUGGGUUCGGGCUUGGUUUGCGCAGGAUAGGUGGGAGGCGAAGAAGAUUUGCUUGUGGGUGAAUCUGAGCCAACGGUGAGAUACCACUCUAACCAGGCUAGAAUUCUAACUUCAACCCGUCAACCGGGGGAAGGACAGUUUCAGGUGGGCAGUUUGACUGGGGCGGUCGCCUCCUAAAAGAUAACGGAGGCGCACAAAGGUUCCCUCAGGCUGGUUGGAAAUCAGCCAACGAGUGCAAAGGCAGAAGGGAGCUUGACUGCGAGACCUACAAGUCAAGCAGGGUGGAAACACGGUCUUAGUGAUCCGACGGCACCGAGUGGAAGGGCCGUCGUUCAACGGAUAAAAGUUACUCUAGGAUAACAGGCUGAUCUCCCCCAAGAGUUCACAUCGACGGGGAGGUUUGGCACCUCGAUGUCGGCUCAUCGCAACCUGGGGCGGAAGUACGUCCCAAGGGUUGGGCUGUUCGCCCAUUAAAGCGGUACGUGAGCUGGGUUCAGAACGUCGUGAGACAGUUCGGUCCAUAUCCGGUGUAGGCGCAAGAACAUUGAGAGGAGUCUUCCUUAGUACGAGAGGACCGGGAAGAACGCACCGCUGGUGUACCUGUUAUCGUGCCAACGGUAAACGCAGGGUAGCCAAGUGCGGAGUGGAUAACCGCUGAAAGCAUCUAAGUGGGAAGCCCACCUCAAGAUGAGUGUUCUCAUGGAGUAAUCCAGUAAGGUCACGGGAAGACGACCCGUUGAUAGGCGGUAGGUGGAAGUUCAGCAAUGGAUGAAGCCGAGCCGUACUAACAGACCGAGGGC
rnacentral:rRNA from 1 species